rnacentral:rRNA from 1 species
GAUGAACGCUGGCGGCGUGCCUAAUACAUGCAAGUCGAGCGAACAGACGAGGAGCUUGCUCCUCUGACGUUAGCGGCGGACGGGUGAGUAACACGUGGAUAACCUACCUAUAAGACUGGGAUAACUUCGGGAAACCGGAGCUAAUACCGGAUAAUAUAUUGAACCGCAUGGUUCAAUAGUGAAAGACGGUUUUGCUGUCACUUAUAGAUGGAUCCGCGCCGUAUUAGCUAGUUGGUAAGGUAACGGCUUACCAAGGCAACGAUGCGUAGCCGACCUGAGAGGGUGAUCGGCCACACUGGAACGGAGACACGGUCCAGACUCCUACGGGAGGCAGCAGUAGGGAAUCGUCCGCAAUGGGCGAAAGCCUGACGGAGCAACGCCGCGUGAGUGAUGAAGGUCUUCGGAUCGUAAAACUCUGUUAUUAGGGAAGAACAAAUGUGUAAGUAACUAUGCACGUCUUGACGGUACCUAAUCAGAAAGCCACGGCUAACUACGUG